UAUUAUAGUACAUUAAUAUUAUUGUACUUGCUUUAUGGUUAAGAAAAUGAAAUGGUGUUAAUACAUAGUGUAUUAC
rnacentral:tRNA from 1 species